UACGUAGGUGGCAAGCGUUAUCCGGAAUUACUGGGCGUAAAGCGCGCGUAGGCGGCUUUGUAAGUUAGAGGUGAAAGCCCGGAGCUUAACUCCGGAAUUGCCUUUAAGACUGCAUCGCUAGAAUUGUGGAGAGGUAAGUGGAAUUCCGAGUGUAGAGGUGAAAUUCGUAGAUAUUCGGAAGAACACCAGUGGCGAAGGCGACUUACUGGACACAUAUUGACGCUGAGGUGCGAAAGCGUGGGGAGCAAACAGG
rnacentral:rRNA from 1 species